UACGAAGGGUGCAAGCGUUGUUCGGAAUUACUGGGCGUAAAGCGCGCGUAGGCGGUUUGGUAAGUUGGAAGUGAAAUCCCGGGGCUUAACUCCGGAAUUGCUUUCAAAACUGCCAAGCUAGAGUGUGAUAGGGGACAGUGGAAUUCCUAGUGUAGAGGUGAAAUUCGUAGAUAUUAGGAGGAACACCAGUGGCGAAAGCGACUGUCUGGAUCACUACUGACGCUGAGGCGCGAAAGCGUGGGGAGCAAACAGG
rnacentral:rRNA from 1 species